rnacentral:rRNA from 1 species
UACGAAGGGGGCGAGCGUUGUUCGGAUUUACUGGGCGUAAAGGGCGCGCAGGCGGCUCAUUUUGUCAGGCGUGAAAGCCCCGGGCUUAACCUGGGAACUGCGUUUGAUACGGAUGGGCUAGAGUUCGGGAGAGGAGAGUGGAAUUCCCAGUGUAGAGGUGAAAUGCGUAGAUAUGCGGAGGAACACCGAUGGCGAAGGCAGUCCCCUGGGCCUGUACUGACGCUCAUGCACGAAAGCGUGGGGAGCAAACAGG